GGAGGGUGCGAGCGUUGUUCGGAAUCACUGGGCGUAAAGCGCGUGUAGGCGGCCUCUUCAGUCUGGUGUGAAAGCCCGGGGCUUACCCCCGGAAGUGCAUUGGAUACUGGGAGGCUGGAGUACCGGAGAGGAGGGUGGAAUUCCUGGUGUAGCGGUGAAAUGCGUAGAUAUCAGGAGGAACACCGGUGGCGAAGGCGGCCCUCUGGACGGAUACUGACGCUGAGACGCGAAAGCGUGGGGAGCAAACAGGAUUAGAUACCCUGGUAGUCCACGCCGUAAACGAUGGGCACUAGGUGUUCGGGGUAUUGACCCCCUGAGUGCCGCAGCUAACGCAUUAAGUGCCCCGCCUGGGGAAUACGGCCGCAAGGUUA
rnacentral:rRNA from 1 species